rnacentral:rRNA from 1 species
AGUGAACGCUGGCGGUAGGCCUAACACAUGCAAGUCGAACGGCAGCACAGUAAGAGCUUGCUCUUACGGGUGGCGAGUGGCGGACGGGUGGGGAAUACAUCGGAAUCUACUUUUUCGUGGGGGAUAACGUAGGGAAACUUACGCUAAUACCGCAUACGACCUACGGGUGAAAGCAGGGGAUCUUCGGACCUUGCGCGAUUGAAUGAGCCGAUGUCGGAUUAGCUAGUUGGCGGGGUAAAGGCCCACCAAGGCGACGAUCCGUAGCUGGUCUGAGAGGAUGAUCAGCCACACUGGAACUGAGACACGGUCCAGACUCCUACGGGAGGCAGCAGUGGGGAAUAUUGGACAAUGGGUGCAAGCCUGAUCCAGCCAUACCGCGUGGGUGAAGAAGGCCUUCGGGUUGUAAAGCCCUUUUGUUGUGAAAGAAAAGCAGCAGGUUAAUACCCCGCUGUUCUGACGGUACCCAAAGAAUAAGCACCGGCUAACUUCGUG